rnacentral:rRNA from 1 species
UACAGAGGUCUCAAGCGUUGUUCGGAUUCAUUGGGCGUAAAGGGUGCGUAGGUGGCGCCGUAAGUCGGGUGUGAAAUUUCGGAGCUUAACUCCGAAACUGCAUUCGAUACUGCCGUGCUUGAGGACUGGAGAGGAGACUGGAAUUUACGGUGUAGCGGUGAAAUGCGUAGAUAUCGUAAGGAAGACCAGUGGCGAAGGCGGGUCUCUGGACAGUUCCUGACGCUGAGGCACGAAGGCCAGGGGAGCAAACGGG